rnacentral:rRNA from 1 species
UACAGAGGUCUCAAGCGUUGUUCGGAUUCAUUGGGCGUAAAGGGUGCGUAGGCGGCGCGGUAAGUCGGGUGUGAAAUCUCGGGGCUUAACUCCGAAACUGCAUUCGAUACUGCCGUGCUUGAGGACUGGAGAGGAGACUGGAAUUUACGGUGUAGCGGUGAAAUGCGUAGAUAUCGUAAGGAAGACCAGUGGCAAAGGCGGGUCUCUGGACAGUUCCUGACGCUGAGGCACGAAGGCCAGGGGAGCAAACGGG